CUUGAUGGCCAUAUCACCCUGACCAUACCUGAUCAUCUCUGAUCUUGGAAGCUAAGCAGGGCUAGGUUUGGUCAGUACCUGGAUAGGAGAACAAAGUUUCCCCUGAAUUUUCCAUGCUCCCAGGA
rnacentral:rRNA from 1 species